GGGAUUAGCUAGUAGGUGGGGUAAUGGCUCACCUAGGCGACGAUCCCUAGCUGGUCUGAGAGGAUGACCAGCCACACUGGAACUGAGACACGGUCCAGACUCCUACGGGAGGCAGCAGUGGGGAAUAUUGCACAAUGGGCGCAAGCCUGAUGCAGCCAUGCCGCGUGUGUGAAGAAGGCCUUAGGGUUGUAAAGCACUUUCAGCGAGGAGGAAGGCGNUGUAGUUAAUANCUGCAGCGAUUGACGUUACUCGCAGAAGAAGCACCGGCUAACUCCGUGCCAGCAGCCGCGGUAAUACGGAGGGUGCAAGCGUUAAUCGGAAUUACUGGGCGUAAAGCGCACGCAGGCGGUUUGUUAAGUCAGAUGUGAAAUCCCCGAGCUUAACUUGGGAACUGCAUUUGAAACUGGCAAGCUA
rnacentral:rRNA from 1 species